GUCCACGCCGUAAACGAUGUCUACUAGCCGUUGGGUGACUUGAUUACCCAGUGGCGCAGCUAACGCAGUAAGUAGACCGCCUGGGGAGUACGGCCGCAAGGUUAAAACUCAAAUGAAUUGACGGGGGCCCGCACAAGCGGUGGAGCAUGUGGUUUAAUUCGAUGCAACGCGAAGAACCUUACCAGGUCUUGACAUCCUGCGAAGUUACCAGAGAUGGUUUCGUGCCUUCGGGAGCGCAGUGACAGGUGCUGCAUGGCUGUCGU
rnacentral:rRNA from 1 species